CCUACGGGAGGCAGCAGUGAGGAAUAUUGGUCAAUGGACGAGAGUCUGAACCAGCCAAGUAGCGUGAAGGAUGACUGCCCUAUGGGUUGUAAACUUCUUUUAUAAAGGAAUAAAACGAGGCACGUGUGCCUUUUUUCAUGUACUUUAUGAAUAAGGAUCGGCUAACUCCGUGCCAGCAGCAGCGGUAAUACGGAGGAUCCGAGCGUUAUCAGGAUUUAUUGGGUUUAAAGGGAGCGUAGAUGGGUUGUUAAGUCAGUUGUGAAAGUUUGCGGCUUAACCGUAAAAUUGCAAUUGAUACUGGCAGUCUUGAGUACAGUUGAGGUAGGCGGAAUUCGUGGUGUAGCGGUGAAAUGCUUAGAUAUCACGAAGAACCCCGAUUGCGAAGGCAGCUUACUAAACUGUGACUGACAUUGAUGCUCGAAAGUGUGGGUAUCAAACAGGAUUAGAUACCCGAGUAGUC
rnacentral:rRNA from 1 species